rnacentral:rRNA from 1 species
AGGGUUUGAUCAUGGCUCAGAGCGAACGCUGGCGGCGUGCCUAACACAUGCAAGUCGAACGAGAAAGCCUUCGGGCAAGUAGAGUGGCGGACGGGUGAGUAACACGUGAGCAACCUGUCUCCGGAUCUGGAAUAACCUUCCGAAAGGGGGGCUAAUACCGGAUAUGACCACAGAGUCUAAUGAUUCAGCGGUAAAAGGUGGCCUCUCCAUGGAAGCUACCGUCUGGAGAUGGGCUCGCGGCCCAUUAGCUUGUUGGUGAGGUAACGGCUCACCAAGGCAACGAUGGGUAGCCGGCCUGAGAGGGUGAACGGCCACACUGGGACUGAGAUACGGCCCAGACUCCUACGGGAGGCAGCAGUGGGGAAUUUUGCGCAAUGGGGGAAACCCUGACGCAGCGACGCCGCGUGAAGGAUGAAGGCCCUAGGGUCGUAAACUUCUGUUAGGAGGGACGAAUUGCAGGGUUGCUAAUACCUUCCCUGUUUGACGGUACCUCCAAAGAAAGCACCGGCUAACUCCGUGCCAGCAGCCGCGGUAAGACGGAGGGUGCAAGCGUUGCUCGGAAUCACUGGGCGUAAAGGGCGUGUAGGCGGGAUAGUAAGUCGGAUGUGAAAGCCCUGGGCUCAACCCAGGAAGUGCAUUCGAAACUACUAUUCUUGAGUAUGGCAGAGGAGAGUGGAAUUCCCGGUGUAGCGGUGAAAUG